UUAUUCAUCUUUAAUAGGUUUAAAGGAUACCCAGACGGUAAAUCGAGCCCUAGACGGGACUAAUUUGCUAGAGUUACUUAUGCGGGGGCUAUGAAGUACUAAUGGUGUAGAGAUAAAAUUUUGUGAUACCAUUUUUCGAAAGAAAAGUCAUGGCACUGGUAAAGGCGAAAGCAUCCCCUUAUGUGAUAACUGACGUUGAAGGACGAAGGCUUUGGAUCGCAAAUAGGAUUAGAUACCCUAGUAGUCAAAGCAGACAAUUAUGAGUGUCAUAGAUUAGAGACAAAUCUUUAUUCUAUAAAUGAAAGUGUAAGCACUCCACCUCAAGAGUAAUUUGGCAACAUUGGAACUGAAAUCAUUAGACCGUUUCUGAAACCAGUAGUGAAGUAUGUUGUUUAAUUAGAUAGUCCGCUAAAAACCUUACCACAGCUCGAAUGUUUAUAUCAAAGAUAUAAACACAAGCGUUGCACGGCUGUCUUCAGUUAAUGUCGUGAGACUUUGGUUAGAUCCAUUAAAUUAACGCAAGCCCUAACUUUAUUUUUAUAUAGAGUUGUUCGCCACUAUAUCGGAUAUGUGAUAACAGGGACUAAGACAAGUCAUCAUGGCCUGAAUGCUGUGGGCUAUA
rnacentral:rRNA from 1 species